GACGAACGCUGGCGGCGCGCUUAACACAUGCAAGUCGAGCGAAGUUUUUCUGGUGCUUGCACCGGAAAAACUUAGCGGCGAACGGGUGAGUAACACGUAAAGAACCUGCCUCAUAGACUGGGACAACUAUUGGAAACGAUAGCUAAUACCGGAUAACAGCAUUAACUGCAUGGUUGAUGUUUAAAAGUUGGUUUUGCUAACACUAUGAGAUGGCUUUGCGGUGCAUUAGCUAGUUGGUGGGGUAAAGGCCUACCAAGGCGACGAUGCAUAGCCGACCUGAGAGGGUGAUCGGCCACACUGGGACUGAGACACGGCCCAGACUCCUACGGGAGGCAGCAGUAGGGAAUCUUCCGCAAUGGGCGAAAGCCUGACGGAGCAACGCCGCGUGAGUGAAGAAGGAUUUCGGUUCGUAAAGCUCUGUUGUUAGGGAAGAAUGAUUGUGUAGUAACUAUACACAGUAGAGACGGUACCUAACCAGAAAGCCACGGCUAACUACGUGCCAGCAGCCGCGGUAAUACGUAGGUGGCAAGCGUUGUCCGGAAUUAUUGGGCGUAAAGCGCGCGCAGGUGGUUUAAUAAGUCUGAUGUGAAAGCCCACGGCUCAACCGUGGAGGGUCAUUGGAAACUGUUAAACUUGAGUGCAGGAGAGAAAAGUGGAAUUCCUAGUGUAGCGGUGAAAUGCGUAGAGAUUAGGAGGAACACCAGUGGCGAAGGCGGCUUUUUGGCCUGUAACUGACACUGAGGCGCGAAAGCGUGGGGAGCAAACAGG
rnacentral:rRNA from 1 species